UUUCAAACGCUUAUCUUCUAAAUUUUGGCGUAAUCACCUCAAUUCAAGAAGAAUAGCCACAUAUACCCAUAUUUUCUGCCUCGAACCAAAGAGCCUAACAAUUGAAAGCCACAAAGCCCCAAUGAUCCCAAUAGUUUAAUGUUCGAUAUUAGUAGAGUAGAAUAAUUUGGUGAGUAUUUGGAGUCAAGCAUAUGCAUGUAAGUAUAAAUUAUUUCUAUCUUUAAUUUGCAAAUAUUGGAUGCUUGAAGCAAUUGUAUGAAUUGUGGUUUUUGGUAAUGGUGAGUGACUAAGUGUUGUUGAAUUUUGAGCUUGCGAAUGCCUAAGAAUUGUCAUUAUAAUUACAAGUUCUGAAAACGUGAAGUUGAUCAUUGAUCUAUGUGAUGAGAUGUAAUAGUUGAGUUAUUUGCUUAUUGGCAGAUUUUGCUUGAGGACAAGCAAAAGUUCAAGUUUGGGGGU
rnacentral:lncRNA from 1 species